rnacentral:ncRNA from 1 species
CAGAGUAGGCUGACGCGCGUCAAGUGCCGGCGGAACGGGGAGUUGUCCGCCGGACGAAAGAGGUUUUCCUCUGCGGUGCGCCGGCCGCAUCCCACUG